rnacentral:rRNA from 1 species
AAAACUUUCAACAACGGAUCUCUUGGUUCUGGCAUCGAUGAAGAACGCAGCGAAAUGCGAUAAGUAAUGUGAAUUGCAGAAUUCAGUGAAUCAUCGAAUCUUUGAACGCACAUUGCGCCCGCCAGCAUUCUGGCGGGCAUGCCUGUUCGAGCGUCAUUUCGACCCCUCAAGCCCCUCCGGCUUGGUGUUGGGG